AGAGUUUGAUCAUGGCUCAGGAUGAACGCUAGCUACAGGCUUAACACAUGCAAGUCGAGGGGCAGCAUUUUAGUUUGCUUGCAAACUAAAGAUGGCGACCGGCGCACGGGUGAGUAACACGUAUCCAACCUGCCGAUAACUCGGGGAUAGCCUUUCGAAAGAAAGAUUAAUAUCCGAUAGUAUAUUAAAACCGCAUGGUUUUACUAUUAAAGAAUUUCGGUAUCGAUGGGGAUGCGUUCCAUUAGUUGUUGGCGGGGUAACGGCCCACAAGACUACGAUGGAUAGGGGUUCUGAGAGGAAGGUCCCCCANAUUGGAACUGAGACACGGUCCAAACUCCUACGGGAGCA
rnacentral:rRNA from 1 species